rnacentral:rRNA from 1 species
AUUGAACGCUGGCGGUAUGCUUAACACAUGCAAGUCGAACGGUAACAGGCCUAGCUUGCUAGGUGCUGACGAGUGGCGGACGGGUGAGUAACGCGUGGGAAUCUGCCUUAUUAUGGGGGAUAACCUGGGGAAACUCAGGCUAAUACCGCAUGAGCCCUAAGGGGGAAAGGAUGGGACCGAAAGGCCAUUCGCGAUAAGAUGAGCCUGCGUUGGAUUAGCUAGUUGGUGGGGUAAAGGCCUACCAAGGCGAGGAUCCAUAGCUGGUCUGAGAGGACGAUCAGCCACACUGGGACUGAGACACGGCCCAGACUCCUACGGGAGGCAGCAGUGGGGAAUAUUGGACAAUGGGGGCAACCCUGAUCCAGCAAUACCGCGUGUGUGAAGAAGGCCUGCGGGUUGUAAAGCACUUUCAGUGGGGAGGAAGAGCUCGGUGCUAAUAGUAUCGAGUUGAGACGUUACCCACAGAAGAAGCACCGGCUAACUCUGUGCCAGCCGCCGCGGUAACAC